rnacentral:rRNA from 1 species
AUACCGCGUGAGGGAGGAAGGUUCUUGGAUUGUAAACCUCUUUUCUCAGGGAAGAAAAAAAUGACGGUACCUGAGGAAUAAGCAUCGGCUAACUCCGUGCCAGCAGCCGCGGUAAUACGGAGGAUGCAAGCGUUAUCCGGAAUCAUUGGGCGUAAAGCGUCCGUAGGUGGCGAAGCAAGUCUGCUGUCAAAGAAUGGAGCUUAACUCCAUAAAGGCGGUGGAAACUGCGUCGCUAGAGUACGGUAGGGGUAGCGGGAAUUCCCAGUGUAGCGGUGAAAUGCGUAGAUAUUGGGAAGAACAUCGGUGGCGAAAGCGCGCUACUGGGCCUGUACUGACACUGAGGGACGAAAGCUAGGGGAGCAAAAGGGAUUAGAUACCCCUGUAGUC